GCUGGGCUUGGUGGCACACCCCUGUAAUCCCAGCUACUCGGGAAGCUGAGGCAGGAGAUUUGCAAGUUCAAGGCCAGCCUGCACAAUUUAGUGACACCCUGUCUCAA
rnacentral:sRNA from 1 species